UACAGAGGUCUCAAGCGUUGUUCGGAAUUACUGGGCGUAAAGGGUGCGCAGGCCGCGCGGACAGUCAAAUGUGAAAUUCAGGGGCUCAACCCCUGCAUUGCGCUUGAUACUUCCGCGCUCGGGCCUUGGAAAGGAGUCUGGAAUUCUCGGUGUAGCAGUGAAAUGCGUAGAUAUCGAGAGAAACACUAAGGGCGAAGGCAAGACUCUGGACAAGUGCUGACGCUCAUGCACGAAGGCUAGGGUAGCGAACGGG
rnacentral:rRNA from 1 species